UACAGAGGGUGCAAGCGUUGUCCGGAUUUAUUGGGCGUAAAGAGCGUGUAGGCGGCCAGGUAGGUCUGCUGUGAAAACUCGAGGCUCAACCUCGAGACGUCGGCGGAAACCAUCUGGCUAGAGUCCGGAAGAGGAGAGUGGAAUUCCUGGUGUAGCGGUGAAAUGCGCAGAUAUCAGGAAGAACACCCGUGGCGAAGGCGGCUCUCUGGGACGGUACUGACGCUGAGACGCGAAAGCGUGGGGAGCGAACAGG
rnacentral:rRNA from 1 species